rnacentral:rRNA from 1 species
CCUUGACAUCCAGAGGACUUUCCAGAGAUGGAUUGGUGCCUUCGGGAACUCUGAGACAGGUGCUGCAUGGCUGUCGUCAGCUCGUGUUGUGAAAUGUUGGGUUAAGUCCCGUAACGAGCGCAACCCCUAUCCUUAUUUGCCAGCGAGUAAUGUCGGGAACUCUAAGGAGACUGCCGGUGACAAACCGGAGGAAGGUGGGGACGACGUCAAGUCAUCAUGGGCCUUACGGGUAGGGCUACACACGUGCUACAC